UUGAGACUUUUAUGCUAAGAGUUACAAGGGAUAAUUGCAGGGGAUAACUCACCUGUAGUCUAGAAAUCACCUGAAUGAAAUUUAUUAAGCAUUUACUACGUACCAAGCACCGUCUACCUAUCCCUGAAGCCUGCUUAUUCCAAAAUAUCUCUCACAAAACCUGCCUCGCUUCUCCUAUUGGUGAGUUCCAACCAGAGCCUCCAUUUUGUGAGGGAUCCACAAACAAGAACGAAGAAGAGUCCCUGUUCUCAAGGGGCCUUCUCUCGGACGAGAAGGACAACGUGUAUAAAGCAGUGGUGGCCAGAGAAGAGUAUUUUGCAGUUCAGGCAGCAAGGUGUCUGGAGAGAAGGUGA
rnacentral:lncRNA from 1 species